AUGCUUGAUAUUCAUGUAUUUGAGGAGAUGUCAGAACAUACGAGUUUUGCAAAUGAGAACUUUGGCAGCUUAUGUUAUCUAUUUUUGAAGUUAAAGAAGAAAAUCCUACCUGACUAAAGAAGGAGGGAUUGCUGCCCCCAGGAACCAGAUUAGACAAGAAGAGAGAGGAAUGUGGAGGUAUAUAUGAUGGAAAUUGAAGAAUGCGAGACUUUGACCCCCUUGAACCUACCAGAACAAGAAAAAGCAUAUAUGGUUAAUGCUUAUUCCUGCCUCAAAGAAAGUUUGGAGAGGGGUGGAACUAAUAAGAGAAAGCUUGCCCAGAUUUAGCU
rnacentral:lncRNA from 1 species